AUGCUUGUCUCAAAGAUUAAGCCAUGCAUGUCUAAGUAUAAGCAACUAUACUGUGAAACUGCGAAUGGCUCAUUAAAUCAGUUAUCGUUUAUUUGAUAGUACCUUUACCUGGAUAACCGUGGUAAUUCUAGAGCUAAUACAUGCUAAAAACCUCGACUUCGGAAGGGGUGUAUUUAUUAGAUAAAAAACCAAUGCCCUUCGGGGCUCCUUGGUGAAUCAUAAUAACUUAACGAAUCGCAUGGCCUUGCGCCGGCGAUGGUUCAUUCAAAUUUCUGCCCUAUCAACUUUCGAUGGUAAGAUAGAGGCUUACCAUGGUCUUAACGGGUAACGGGGAAUUAGGGUUCUAUUCCGGAGAGGGAGCCUGAGAAACGGCUACCACAUCCAAGGAAGGCAGCAGGCGCGCAAAUUACCCAAUCCCGACACGGGGAGGUAGUGACAAUAAAUACUGAUACGGGGCUCUUUUGGGUCUCGUAAUUGGAAUGAGUACAAUCUAAAUCCCUUAACGAGGAACAAUUGGAGGGCAAGUCUGGUGCCAGCAGCCGCGGUAAUUCCAGCUCCAAUAGCGUAUAUUAAAGUUGUUGCCGUUAAAAAGCUCGUAGUUGAACCUUGGGCCUGGCUGACCUGUCCUCCUAAUCGAGCGCACGGGUUCGGUCGGGCCUUUCCUUCUAGGGAACCCCAUGCCCUUCAC
rnacentral:rRNA from 1 species